rnacentral:rRNA from 1 species
GCUUAACACAUGCAAGUCGAGUGCGCGUCUGUAGCAAUACAGAUGGCGCACGGCGCACGGGUGCGUAACACGUGGGUAAUCUGCCCUUCGAAGGGGAAUAACUCGCCGAAAGGCGAGCUAAUUCCGCAUAACAUUCCGAGAACCUUGGUUUUUGGAUUCAAAGGCGUAAGUCGUCGGAGGAGGAGCCCGCGCACGAUUAGCUAGUUGGUAGGGUAACGGCCUACCAACGCUAUGAUCGUUACCUGGUCUGAGAGGAUGGCCAGCCACACUGGAACUGAGACACGGUCCAGACUCCUACGGGAGGCAGCAGUGGGGAAUCUUGC